GUCAGGAUGGCUCAGUUGGUUAAAGUGUGGUGCUGAUAACGCCAAGGCUGCAGGUUCAAUCCCCAUUAAAGGGGGUUGGACU